rnacentral:rRNA from 1 species
GGCGAACGCCGUGCCAGCAGGCGGGGUAAUACGGAGGGUGGAAGCGUUAAUGGGGAUUACGGGGGGGAAAGCGGGCGUGGGGUGUUGGUUAAGCGAGAGGUGAAAGCCCCGGGCGUAACCUGGGGAUUGCAUUUCGAACUGGCAAGCUAGAGUACGGUAGAGGGUAGUGGAAUUUCCGGUGUAGCGGUGAAAUGCGUAGAGAUCGGAAGGAACAUCAGUGGCGAAGGCGACUACCUGGACUGAUACUGACACUGAGGUGCGAAAGCGUGGGGAGCAAACAGGAUUAGAUACCCUGUAGUC